rnacentral:rRNA from 1 species
GGGCGCGCCUAACACAUGCAAGUCGAACGGAGCUUAAAGAGCUUGCUUUUUAAGCUUAGUGGCGAACGGGUGAGUAACGCGUGAGUAACCUGCCCUGGAGUGGGGGACAACAGUUGGAAACGACUGCUAAUACCGCAUAAGCCCACGGAUCCGCAUGGAUCUGCGGGAAAAGGAUUUAUUCGCUUCAGGAUGGACUCGCGUCCAAUUAGCUAGUUGGUGAGGUAACGGCCCACCAAGGCGACGAUUGGUAGCCGGACUGAGAGGUUGAACGGCCACAUUGGGACUGAGACACGGCCCAGACUCCUACGGGAGGCAGCAGUGGGGGAUAUUGCACAAUGGGGGAAACCCUGAUGCAGCGACGCCGCGUGGAGGAAGAAGGUUUUCGGAUUGUAAACUCCUGUCGUUAGGGACGAUAAUGACGGUACCUAACAAGAAAGCACCGGCUAACUACGUGCCAGCAGCCGCGGUAAAACGUAGGGUGCAAGCGUUGUCCGGAAUUACUGGGUGUAAAGGGAGCGCAGGCGGACCGGCAAGUUGGAAGUGAAAAUUAUGGGCUCAACCCAUUAAUGCUUUCAAAACUGCUGGCCUUGAGUAGUGCAGAGGUAGGUGGAAUUCCCGGUGUAGCGGUGGAAUGGGUAGAUAUCGGGAGGAACACCAGUCGCGAAGGCGACGUACUGGGCACCAACUGACGCUGAGGCUGGAAAGCAUGGGUAGCAAACAGGAUUAGAUACCCUGGUAGUCCAUGCCGUAAACGAUGAUUACUAGGUGUUGGAGGAUUGACCCCUUCAGUGCCGCAGUUAACACAAUAAGUAAUCCACCUGGGGAGUACGACCGCAAGGUUGAAACUCAAAGGAAUUGACGGGGGCCCGCACAAGCAGUGGAGUAUGUGGUUUAAUUCGAAGCAACGCGAAGAACCUUACCAGGUCUUGACAUCCGAUGCAUAGUGCAGAGAUGCAUGAAGUCCUUCGGGACAUCGAGACAGGUGGUGCAUGGUUGUCGUCAGCUCGUGUCGUGAGAUGUUGGGUUAAGUCCCGCAACGAGCGCAACCCUUAUUGCCAGUUACUACGCAAGAGGACUCUGGCGAGACUGCCGUUGACAAAACGGAGGAAGGUGGGGAUGACGUCAAAUCAUCAUGCCCUUUAUGACCUGGGCUACACACGUACUACAAUGGCGUUUAACAAAGAGAAGCAAGACCGCGAGGUGGAGCAAAACUCAAAAACAACGUCUCAGUUCAGAUUGCAGGCUGCAACUCGCCUGCAUGAAGUCGGAAUUGCUAGUAAUCGCGGAUCAGCAUGCCGCGGUGAAUACGUUCCCGGGCCUUGCACA